CUAGUUGUGAUGGCUGAGGGGCUGUGGGGUCUCAGGGCUGAUUCUCCCAAUAGCAGGCUGUUGUUAUAUGAUUGUAUCGGCUUCCACAGUCUUGACAACUGUGCUUCGGCAGUCAUGUUAGUGCAACCAACCCGCAAGGGUCAGCGUCCCAAAAUCGCACCCUAUUCCCUAAUGUGAAGUGAACUACUUUUGCCUACAGGUCACUCUGGUCAAAGUAGUCCACUGUGUAGGGAAAUGGGGAUGCUGUUUGCUGCACGAACCCCAGUGUUCAGGAUCGUGUACCUCUGCUGCAGUUGGUUCAUUUACACACCGCCUUGCUUCUUCUGUUCAGGUGUAUAUUUCAAAGUUCAGGAAUGAUCUGUGAUACUUAACGCUGGGAUGAUAUCUGACCUGUCGCCAGACUAACCCUCCGGUCAGGUGAUGUCGCCAGACUAACCCUCCGGUCAGGUGAUGUCGCCAGACUAACCCUCCGGUCAGGUGAUGUCGCCAGACUAACCCUCCGGUCAGGUGAUGUCGUGUAGGAAACCUAUAGGAAGGUAAACUAUGAUCACCGUUCACAGUGAGUAAAUGUGAUGCUCCCUAAACUUUCAAUACAUUUUUAUUUUAUUUGUAUGUAAAAGAUGGGACAGGUAAACGCUCCUGCAAAAUAACCUGUGUUUCUACUCCACUACACCUCUGUCCCCUUCCGAGUACGUUGAUGUUUUCGGAGUAUUCUGUUCAGUGUGGUUGUGUUUUCACCAUAUAACCUGAGAGGGAAUAAUGAUUUAUUUUGCACUUAAGCCUCUUUCACAUCUAAACUCAUGUUGAUCUUCCCACCGGAACCAAGCAGGCCGUCCAACCUCCACCUACAGGUCUUCAAUUAGACACCACCACCUUCACCUCCCUCUAGAACCUGGGGGGAGGGACCACCUUCACCUCCCUCUGGAACUGGGGGGGGGAGACCACCUUCACCUCCCUCUGGAACCGGGGGAGGGGGUCACCUGCCACCAAACAGAAAUGAUUUGCUACUCUGUGCCGUAAUGAACAUGCCCCAAAACCAGAAGAGAAAGACUGAAAUGUUUUUGCUACGUUGUGCUCUAAUGAACAUGCCCCAAACCAGAAGAGAAAGACCUGUCUUUGUUUUUAGUUUUUUUCCGUUGCAAAAUGUUUUUCUAUGCUGUGCCAUACUGAACACCACCCAGAGUAAGAGAUGUGGGAGGAGCUAAAGUGGAGGCCCCAGGAAACAAACUGACAGAAUUGUUCUUGUCGUGAGCGAGGGGGGGGUCUAACAUCCCAAUGUCCACACUACUGUUUAGUAUGCCGUAUGAAUGGCCGAUCCAGUGCAUCGCUCCAUACUAAGUGAUAUUGUGACGUAGUCUGUCUUCUAAUGGGUGUUCAUUAUUGACUUGUGUUGAUGUGAAAAGAUGCAGUUGCCUGACUAUUAAAGCUGAAAGGGAUAGUUUACCUGAA